rnacentral:lncRNA from 1 species
UGAAAUGACACGCAUGCUCUUGCCCUCUUGACAUGUGAUGUCCUUUGCCAUGUUAUGAUGCUGACAGAAGCCCCUCAUCAGAUGCUGGUGCCAUUCUCUUGGGCUUCCGAGCCUCCAGAACUGCAAAAUGCAAAAAAACACAACUUUCUGAGAAAGUCUGAAGCUGGUCUUCUGCAGGCACACGAAGCCAUCAAAAUCAAAGUUAUCUCAAGUAAUCUUGAAGUCAGUCUAUUGGUAUCAAGUAGAGUCUUCAAAAACUAAACUUCCUGGAACAUUCUUCUGUCCAUAAUGCCCCAGAACUUGCCAGUCAAGAUGAAAAACUUCUUCUAAUGGAAUCCAGCUUGAAAGCUACUCAAGAGCAGCUAACUGAGCAAAUAGCAGAAACAGUUCGCCAAGAACAGAACAGUAGAAAACCCCAGGCAGAGCUGAAGACAGUGACAGAAGGGAUUAUUGCUUCUGAAGAAGAAAAAAAAUGAUUACAAGAAAAUAAAUACGAGCCUCAGCAUGUCGAUUCUGUACAGAUUUGCAAGUGUAGACCAAGGACUAUUAGCACAAAUGACAAGAAAUAUCUAAGAAAAUCUCAUGAAUGUUCAUUAAGAAACAUGGUCACAUAGGUCUUCUCAUCUUUUGAAUAAAUAAAGCAUAUGAAAAACUGAUAUGUCAGCCACACGAGUCAACAACACUCUAACCAGAAAAACUGUAUAUAGCCUUCGCAUGUACUGAUUACACAAAACAAAUACUACCAAAAUUUGCAUGUGACUAGUAUGUAAACAUUUUAUCGGUUUUUCUUUUCCAAAUGACAUAAUUACAUUGUAUUUUGAAACCAGAUUAAAGUAUAUUACCCAUGAUGGUAUCUUUGCAAAAACAGUUGUCUUAAAUUGGAUUCUGAGAUAGAGAGUUGUGUGUAGGUCUGUAGGGAGUGUUCUUGGGAAAUACAGGAAGGUGGGACUGGGGAGGGGUGGGUCCAGCUAACUCCAAUCUUGAUGCCACAAAAGCAUCAACUGAUCCCUAGAGGAGCUCUGGAGAUGUCUCAAAUUGAGGAAAAGAGACACAGCCAUUAUAUCUCCAUGUCAGCCAGGCUUUGGCUCCUGAAAGGGGUCAUAAUCUUGCAUGAUUCCCAGUGAGGGGUCUCAAAUGGGAGACGUCAGCCAUUUAUGAACAUUCCUAGCAGCUGGAGGAUGGAUGCUGAUCCCUACAGAGGGGAUUUGGUGGAGCACUACAUUGUUCUCUAUAAUCAUACACCAUUAUGAAAUAUAUAAUCUAAUUUAGAGGAAAUUCUGUCACUUCAAAUGCAAAUUCAUUGCACAUAUCAACUUUUUUUAAUCUUCAAAGUGCAUGUCUCAUUUACUUAGAUUUCUACCAUAAAAAGAUUUGUCUAAAAAUGUUAACUAUUAAACACUCUCACCUAUUAGUAAUAAAACAACUUAGGAAAUUAAUAAUUAAGAAAUAAAACAGAUGCUAAAUGGACAAAACAGAUAGCAUAAUAACAAAAAUGUAAAGGAGCAGACAAUUUCAUAAAGUGCUUUCACUUAAUAAAAUAUUAUUUCAUUUGGUACUCAAACAAAAUACAGAAUUUAUAUAGUAAUUUCCAUUUUGAUAAUGAAGACAUUGAAGCACAAGAAGAUAAGGCAACUUAACCAAGGUAAGUGACAGGAACUUGAAUUAAACCAUCUAUUUUGAUAUCAGAUAACCAUGGGAAGUAAUAAUUCCUUUGAUACAUAGUAUUGAGGCAGAGGCAGGGCCAGUUGUAUCAGGAGCCAAAUCUCUAAGUUUCUAGGUAGUGUGUUUCAACCUGUUGAAUGUGAACACAUUUUUAAUGAAUGCAUAUUCAGCUUAAAUGUGAAAACCAUAAAAUCUAAGUCUAUCAAUAUUUUUUAAAAUGUCUUAAAUAUCAACUAGAUAAUAUUAAAAUUUCACAUUAAGGUAAGUUUGAUUUUUUUCAAAAUCAAUAAAUUUUUCAGUCCCAAAUUCUUAAAGACAGUUAUGUCCAGUUAGCAGUAAGUUGAUUAUUAUCAUAGACUUCAAAAUGCUAACAACUACUAUAAGUAUCUACUAGGUAACACUGGCUGUUAUAGGCAUUGGAAAAACAGCGAUUAAAAAAAGGAGUACCAAUUUCUCUUAUAGAAUUUAUAUCCUAGUGAUAAAAAUAGAAAUGGAGAAGCUAGCUCAUGUGAUUAUUUGAGAUGGUAGAAAGGGCUUUGAAACAGGAGUCCCCAAACCCUUCUGUCCAUUACUGGCCCGUAUCCUGUUAGGAACCGGGCCACACAGUAGGAGGUGAGCAGUGGGCAAGAGAGCAUUACCAUCUGAGCUCCACCUGCUGUCAGAUCAGCAGCAGCAUUAGAUUCUCAUAAGAGCAGGAACCCUAUUGUGAACUGGGCAUGCGAGGGAUGUAGGUUGUGCGCCUCUUAUGAGAAUCUAAUGCCUGAUGAUCUGAGGUAGAACAGUUUCAUCCCCAAACCACCCCCCUCGCCAAAAUUAUCUUCCAUGAAACUGGUUCCUGAUGCCAAAAAGUUUGGGGACCCCUGCUUUGAAGGACAAAAAAUGACAAAAUAGAGUAGGUUGAGGAAGUGCUUUAUUUUCCCUCUGAAAAGUAAAUAGUUCAAUUGGACCCAAGUGAUGAGAAUUUGCUGACCAUUCAGAGUUCUAGGGGAAGAAUAUUCUAGACAGAACAAGCAAGUACAAAUUCUUUAUAUGGGGAUGAAGUUGAUGUUCUAGGAAAGUUUGAUUGAAUGGUUGCAGCCUUUAAUGAGAGGCUGGUGCUGGAGAUGUAGCUUGGGAAGUAAACAAAGGCCAAAUCAGGUUGAGUCUUGUGGACCGUUUGAGAAAAAGAGUUCGUUUUGUAUUCCAAUUCCAAUGAGAAGCCAUUGGACUUAAGCACGGAAAUAAUAUAAUUUGAUAAUUCUCUUUGAAAUAUUACUUUACUUGCUUAUUGGAGACUGUGUUAAGGGAGUGCAAAACUUUUUGAUGUACUGAUUACGUGAAACCUAAAGUCUUUUGUCAAUGAUGUAUUUGAUUAACAUUUAUUUUCUGAUACAUUGAUCAAAUUUAUACAAAGCAAAAUAAAAUUAGCAUAUAAACACAUAAACUUAUCCAUUCUACCACAACUCAAAUUAGAACAAAGUUAGAGUUAUGAAUUUUUGAUUAUUGUCUCUGUCUUCAUUAAAUGAAAACAUACUCUGUGGAACUUCUACUGGAGAAGAGUUCCACAUUGCCUAUAUCUUACGUACAUGGAGUUUCAUGGGAAAUUUUAUGGUAUAUUUAUGGCCAAUAUAUAAACAGGGAAAAAUUGUUUGCCAAAAUGUACUAAUAACUUUCAAAUUUCACAACAAAUAUUAUUAACAAACUGCAAAGCACCAGG